rnacentral:rRNA from 1 species
AGGUGCGAUCAUACCAGCACUAAUGCACCGGAUCCCAUCAGAACUCCGCAGUUAAGCGUGUUUGGGCGAGAGUAGUACUAGGAUGGGUGACCUCCUGGGAAGUCCUCGUGUUGCACCU